GAUGAACGCUGACAGAAUGCUUAACACAUGCAAGUCAACUUGAAUUUGGGUUUUUAACUUAGAUUUGGGUGGCGGACGGGUGAGUAACGCGUAAAGAACUUGCCUCACAGCUAGGGACAACAUUUAGAAAUGAAUGCUAAUACCUGAUAUUAUGAUUUUAAGGCAUCUUAGAAUUAUGAAAGCUAUAAGCACUGUGAGAGAGCUUUGCGUCCCAUUAGCUAGUUGGAGAGGUAACAGCUCACCAAGGCGAUGAUGGGUAGCCGGCCUGAGAGGGUGAACGGCCACAAGGGGACUGAGACACGGCCCUUACUCCUACGGGAGGCAGCAGUGGGGAAUAUUGGACAAUGGACCGAGAGUCUGAUCCAGCAAUUCUGUGUGCACGAUGAAGUCUUUCGGAAUGUAAAGUGCUUUCAGUUGGGAAGAAAAAAAUGACGGUACCAACAGAAGAAGUGACGGCUAAAUACGUGCCAGCAGCCGCGGUAAUACGUAUGUCACGAGCGUUAUCCGGAUUUAUUGGGCGUAAAGCGCGUCUAGGUGGUUAUGUAAGUCUGAUGUGAAAAUGCAGGGCUCAACUCUGUAUUGCGUUGGAAACUGUAUAACUAGAGUACUGGAGAGGUAAGCGGAACUACAAGUGUAGAGGUGAAAUUCGUAGAUAUUUGUAGGAAUGCCGAUGGGGAAGCCAGCUUACUGGACAGAUACUGACGCUAAAGCGCGAAAGCGUGGGUAGCAAACAGG
rnacentral:rRNA from 1 species